UACGUAGGGGCCGAGCGUUGUCCGGAGUUACUGGGCGUAAAGCGUGCGUAGACGGUUCUGUAAGUCGGAUGUGAAAUCCCCGGGCUCAACCUGGGAAUUGCAUUCGAGACUGCAAAGCUUGGGUGCGGAAGAGGGAAGCGGAAUUUCCGGUGUAGCGGUGAAAUGCGUAGAUAUCGGAAGGAACAUCAGUGGCGAAAGCGGCUUCCUGGUCCAGCACCGACGUCAGGCACGAAAGCGUGGGGAGCAAACAGG
rnacentral:rRNA from 1 species